UACGAAGGGGGCUAGCGUUGCUCGGAAUCACUGGGCGUAAAGGGUGCGUAGGCGGGUCUUUAAGUCAGGGGUGAAAUCCUGGAGCUCAACUCCAGAACUGCCUUUGAUACUGAGGAUCUUGAGCCCGGGAGAGGUGAGUGGAACUGCGAGUGUAGAGGUGAAAUUCGUAGAUAUUCGCAAGAACACCAGUGGCGAAGGCGGCUCACUGGCCCGGUACUGACGCUGAGGCACGAAAGCGUGGGGAGCAAACAGG
rnacentral:rRNA from 1 species